rnacentral:rRNA from 1 species
CCCGGUGAAAUUUAAACGGCCGCAGUUAGAAGCUGUGCUAAGGUAGCGUAGUAAGUUGUCCUUUAAAUGGGGAAAGGAAUGAAUGGUUUGACGUGAGAAAAACUGUCUCUGUUAGAAAAAGAAAAAUUUUCUUCUUGGUGAAAAGCCCAAGAUUUGGUUAAAAGACGAGAAGACCCUUUCGAGCUUGAUAAAAUGCUUAGUAUUCUAGGGGUGUAAGUUUGGUUGGGGCAACCUAGGCGUAAAAGGAGACUCCUUGAAGAUUCUAUGGAUCCAAAAAUUCGAAUAGAGAAAAAGCUACCGCAGGGAUAGCAGCGUU